UAGGGAAUAUUGCAAAUGGGCGAAAGCCUGACGUAGCAACGCCGCGUGUGCGAUGAAGGUCUUCGGAUUGUAAAGCACUUUUUGGAGGGAUGAGGAAGGACAGUACCUCCAGAAUAAGCCUCGGCUAACUACGUGCCAGCAGCCGCGGUAACACGUAGGAGGCAAGCGUUAUUCGGAUUUACUGGGCGUAAAGCGCGUGCAGGCGGUUUGGAAAGUUGGAUGUGAAAGCUCCUGGCUCAACAGGGAGAGGUCGUUCAAAACUUCGAGACUUGAGAGUGGUAGAGGGAGGAGGAAUUGCGGGUGUAGUGGUGAACGGCGUAGAUAUCCGGA
rnacentral:rRNA from 1 species